CGGGGAGAAAUCAACAGGAAGCCGCAACGAUGUUCUCUCCGUUUCAUUUCUCCCUCUUAAGGAAGAAAAGGAGCAGGACACUGCUUUGCGCAGGAUGAUCUGAAGCUAGAGUAAGGUGUCGGUGGGACACUCCCAGAAUGUCCAGAAGAGGCGGGACGUCUGAAUGUCUGCUGUCGUCAUUGGACAGUCCUGUCAGAGUGAUACAAGGAGUAGCGCUGGCACUUAGGGGGGAGGAAAGCUGAAUUGGAAAUCAGUGGCGGUGUUGCACCUGACAGAGCUCCCGAAAGUGGCCGACGGAGAAAAAGACGAAGUGUUUGAAGAGGAUCGCGCGAAGUGAGGAGAAGAGCUAGCGCAGCACUCGAGAAGCACAAUGAACUAUGUGACUAAUUAGCGCCUGCAUAUUUCUCUCCAAUUUCACAGGUCAAAAACAAGACGCCAUGCGCGGCAUAACAAGGGUACGGAGCACAGAACAAAACUAGAGACAAAAGGAGCGAAUGAGGAUUUCUCAGCACCACGGACAGCAGCCCGUGACGGCUAUAUGAGCUCGUAUGUCACGUCGAGCUCGAUGUCAAAUUACAAUUUUAUUUAUUGUUUUCACAUGCAACGUUCUUUAUUAAACCUUUGACUUUCUUAGAAACCAUGCAGUUAUUGUUAGGGGUUAUGGUGCUGUUUUGUUAUGAUCUAUUUUAUCUGUUUGUUUGUUUGGUUGCUGAUUUUAUGUAUGUAGUUUAUUUUUGAGAUAUUUUUCUGAGCAGUUAGUUAUAAACAUGUUCUUAUUUGCUUUGUAUAACACGACAUUUUCAAAGAGCUGAGGUCAAACAAUCUUUCGUUUUGUGUCAGUGAGGCCUUAAAGGAUUGUGGCAGCCCAGCGCAUAACCGGCACACCUAUAUACCCUUACUUAUCCUGGCAGGGGGUGGAGGAACGUGCGUGACGGUGAGGUGGAACCAACUAAUGCCGCCUGAAAGACUGCCCUGGAUGGCUGCGCGCUCGAACUGCCGCCUUGUCGAGGCGCACUGUGCGCGAAGGCUGUGGGGCGUGGAAACCGGGGUAAAAAUUUCACAUGCUUGGGGUCUUUUCUCGCGCAUUCCAAAAACGCAGUGAAAGUUUUCAAGAAGGUCACAUAUUCAUGGGUUUGCACGCGUGGGUAGCAGAAAAAGUCAGGGGAGCUCAAUCCGUCGAGGAUCAGACUGUUACUUUACAUUCUAUUUAUUUAGCAGACGCUUCGAUUCAAAGCGACUUACAUUUUUGACAAAGCAUGGCAGUGCCCCCCCAUCAUAACGUGCAUGGCCCCCUCUGUGGCCCCCUAAAUGCCUAUGCUACUUGUGUCUGAAAUAAAUGUAUUAUUAUUGAAAUUUAUAUAUGUGGGCUUGAGUGGACAGGGGAGGAGUGGUGCCUCUGAGGCUAGGGAAGGUUGCUGGUUCGAAUCCCAUGAAUGCCAGAAGUGAUCCUACCCUGUUGGGCCCCUGAGGAAGGCCCUUAACCUGCAAUCACUUCGUCUUAGGGUACAUCCAGCCCUGCAAGCAAGUCCUCCAACUUACAGGGGUUGGUGGCAGGAUUGGCUCUCCAGCCACUGGAACAAAACUCACACUGUUCCGUUCAGACUAGUGUGGUGCUGAGGUAUCACCCACUGCGCUUGGGUUCCCAUCCCUGAGGUUUGGUGUACGGUGGGUGCAGCAACGCGCUGUAAUCAGCGCACGCUCCUUACCUUACCUCUCUCCUCAUAUGUGGGCUGAAAUGUGGGGGCACACACUCAGGCCCCUCCUGUAGCCAGGUGCUCGUAGUCACUUCAGUUGGUGAAAAGAAAGGUUAACGGCAGAAAAAAAUAACCGAGCUUGUGGAAGCAAGAUUGUCUAAACAAGAAAUCGGAGUGAGUUGCAUAUUAGUAAAAUAUGUACGACAAUCUAAUGUAAGUAAUACUUGGAGGACUUUAAGGUCAAAUGCAUCUGCCCCCACCCCCCAUCAACAGAAAAACUGGCCUUAGUCUGCCCCCCCCCCAGUUGAAAUGGUUUAGAACCGCCACUGUCACUAGUUCAAAUCCUGUGGCCGACAUACUGAUUUCACCCUUAACCCUUAUUGCUCCAGAGACUGGAGCUGACAAUACCUUCUCAAUGUACCUCGCUUUGGACGAGAGCGUUUACUAAAUAAAUAAAUACAAACCAUGGGAAAUGAUGGUUUAUUGUUGCCAGCCUGGUUAAUAGUGAUAUUCAAGUUAGCGGUCCAUCUUUGUACCCCAUCCUGCGUAGGCCUAAACACACCCCUGGUAGUCAGCACAUAAAGAAUUGUGGCUAUUGGUUUACCUAUAGUGUAUCACACACACUUUGUUACAAAUGUUCAUUACUCUCUAUAUCACCCUACAUAAGAGCAACAAUCUUCUUCAUAAAUAAUCCAUUAAAAACUU